UCUUGGUCAAUUAGAGGAAGUAAAAGUCGUAACAAGGUCUCCGUUGGUGAACCAGCGGAGGGAUCAUUACCGAGUUUACAACUCCCAAACCCCUGUGAACAUACCACUUGUUGCCUCGGCGGAUCAGCCCGCUCCCGGUAAAACGGGACGGCCCGCCAGAGGACCCCUAAACUCUGUUUCUAUAUGUAACUUCUGAGUAAAACCAUAAAUAAAUCAAAACUUUCAACAACGGAUCUCUUGGUUCUGGCAUCGAUGAAGAACGCAGCAAAAUGCGAUAAGUAAUGUGAAUUGCAGAAUUCAGUGAAUCAUCGAAUCUUUGAACGCACAUUGCGCCCGCCAGUAUUCUGGCGGGCAUGCCUGUUCGAGCGUCAUUUCAACCCUCAAGCACAGCUUGGUGUUGGGACUCGCGUUAAUUCGCGUUCCUCAAAUUGAUUGGCGGUCACGUCGAGCUUCCAUAGCGUAGUAGUAAAACCCUCGUUACUGGUAAUCGUCGCGGCCACGCCGUUAAACCCCAACUUCUGAAUGUGACCUCGAUCAGUAGGAAA
rnacentral:rRNA from 1 species